CCUACGGGAGGCAGCAGUAGGGAAUAUUGCACAAUGGGGGAAACCCUGAUGCAGCAACGCCGCGUGAGGGAUGACGGUUUUCGGGUUGUAAACUCCUGUUGUUAGGGAAGAUAAUGACGGUAUCUAACGAAUAAGCCACGGCUAACUACGUGCCAGCAGCCGCGGUAAUACGGAGGGGGCGAGCGUUAGUCGGAAUCACUGGGCGUAAAGGGCGCGUAGGCGGGCUUGUAAGUCAGAUGUGAAAUACUAGGGCUUAACCAGAGUACUGCAUUUGAAACUGGAAGUCUAGAGUGUGGGAGAGGUAGGUGGAAUUCUUGGUGUAGGGGUAAAAUGCGUAGAGAUUAAGAAGAAUACUCAUGGCGAAGGCGAUUCGCUAGACUAUAACUGACGCUGAGGCGCGAAAGCGUGGGGAGCAAACAGGAUUAGAUACCCGUGUAGUC
rnacentral:rRNA from 1 species